rnacentral:lncRNA from 1 species
GAUAUAAAGGCAGUUGUGUAGAUAUUCAAAGAAGUUUUUUGGAACAAUGUCACCUAUGUGUUUUGUUCAAUUGCCCUAAAUUGUCUCAUUUUCUAGAGUAAGUUGAUUUAUUCAACUUAAAGUUCUUUUUUGCGUCUUCCUUAAUAAGUGAGAUUUCUCGUUAAACUAAUUAUUGGCGAUCAGAAGAUAUUCUUAAUAUUCCUAUUAUUCUUUUAAAUUGUUGAAUAAAGUGGCUACUAGGUGGCGUAAUUACAAGGCCAAAUUAAAAGAAAAUUACU